ACACGUUUCAUACAUGUAGCAGUCAGAGAAAUGUUCUCUCCAUUUGUUCUUGUUUUCCCUCAGCUGUUCCGAAGAGGCUGAACAUGUUGAAAGGGAUCUUUAGUGACUGAUUACUUUGCCGUGUACACCCCUAGACGUGUUGUUUUUGAGAAUGUUGUGGACAUUAUCAAAGUGACUGAAGUGUAGCAGAGUGAAAAAAAAUCAUAAAAAUACAAAUUCUUUACAAGAUCUGGCAAAGAGGAACACUUGCAAUGGUGCAGUGCCUGAGAGAGCUCAGGAAAAUGCCUGCCAAAGAGGACAAAACACAAGCAAAUGAAGAGAACAUCACCACCACUUAAACAACACAUAUGUCACAUAAAUAAAAUGCUGCAAAUAGAUAAGACACAAGCAAAUUGCAACAUAUGUGGCAUUAAGAAAAACAAGCAAAUAAAGAAACAAUUCAAGUGUAAGUUAUACCUUACAGUAUAAUGUAAUCCAAUACAAUGACCCUGGAAUAGAAUGUACCAUUGUGAAGCUUAUAGUGUUCACUUUUUCUGUGACGCUCUGUUCAGCAUUUAGUUGAUACAACUCUAUGGUCUAUUUUUCAGUCUAAAAUUUAAUUGCAUACUUAAGGUUUAUUUCACAGGGACGACACCAAAUGAUGCAAAUGAGCCAGUUACUCUAGAAGGAGAUUUUUCCUCUGUAGUCCCUGAGGUCCUUAAGGUGUGAGAUGAUAAAAGGCACCCUACAAAUCAAAUCAAAAUACAGCACACAUAACAGAAUACAGACAGAAAUGAGUGAUGUUAUAACCCUAGACAAUAUAAAUGAAAAUAAAAAAACACACAAAACAACAGACAAAUAUGUACAUUAAUGCAUUGAAAGGCAUUCUUACACAUGCACGGCUUCAUGCCCGCAGUUUUAAUUAAACCAGGUCAGAGAAAAGCGCAUUGAAGCUGGCUUCUUGAGCAGUGACUCUCUCCCAGCUGUGAGUUCUGGCCACCUCUGUCUAAUGCCUGAUGGAAAGUUGGUGGGUGCACACCCAGUGAGAGAGUAAGACACUGAUAGAGCCCACCAAUUACUGCAGCAGCCUUUGAUAUCCUUCUACAAAGACUGCUGGGUUGAUAACUGUCAGAAAAUGAGCUCAGUGUGUUCAAGAGAAAAUGGUUGUAGAUACCUUUUUGUGAGUUAUUUGUGAACGCUAAUCAAUUAAUAUGUAUUACAUUUGAAAUCUCAGGACCUGGAUAGGCAUUGAAUAUUCAGCUCCAGUGAAGAAGAUAUAUUUCUUUGUCUUUUAACUCUGUGUGUUAUUGCAUGUGUCAGCUGUGGCGGGUGGGUUUGGUUUGCUACAUCUGUUCUGCUGCGCUUUGGUGCGGAUGGAUACACGCACAUAAACACACAUAUUUGCAUGCUCUCAGACAACAUGCUCAUGGCCAUGCUCUCAGAGCAGCUCUGGUAAGGCAGAAAUGUGGGUGGAAAAUACACACACACACACAAAUUAAUAUCAUUAUCUCUUAUUCAUUAUUCUUCUUGUCUGUAUCUUUCUGUAACUGUUAUCACUUUCUCUGUGCUCAGGCAGGCUCUGCUGCUCUUUCAAGGGGGCUAGAUGAGAGUCCCUGAUAGAUGUUAUUAAAAGCCGAUGUACUUCAGCUUCAGAAGAUGUCUGAAAUCAGCACUUUCACACCCAGUUUCUCUGUGCACUGUUUACUUCCAUUUAUGUGAACUCUGAUCAUACAUACAGAUGUACUAUCAUAGUAUGCACUUAACAACACACACUUAAAGCUUGAGUGCAGUGCUGUUACAUGUAAACGAACGUCCGUUACAUUCAAGCCCUUGUCAAACGAGCUCACACAAUGCUGAUUAAGCCUAUCACCGCCAGAUAAAUCUCUGUAUUUUGCAGUUUACAGAGUUUUUAAAUCUGGCGUCUGUGGUGGCAUUCCUGUGCUGGCGCACCGGCACCCAUAGAGCAUGCGCACCAGAGACUUCCGCCGGCCGAGCUGGCCAACCUCCAGUUUAGCCCUUGCGAACUUGAGGGAUAAAAUAAUUAAAUUGUGCGACUUUUCAAAAGGAUCAAAUUCAUUGUGACGCUCAAAACAAUUUAUCCACUGUUUUACAGCCGCAACAGUGGCGACGGCAACCAGCUCAUGCAUGGACUCAUAGAACUGGAGUUACAUCCAGUAUUUACUCUCACUGCCAGAGGGGGGAGACACAAGUUCCGUACUGCAGGUUUAACACGUCAACAUUUUUUGACUGAAAAUUUAACUUGGUAUUGACGUGUGCACCCAGAAUCCUCUUGGAUGCUUUAUUUUAACCAUAUGGUCAAUAAAUUCCCUGUAACCAAUCCCCUUUUUCUGGGUUGUGUACCUGAGUUCAGAUUUAGCCAAUUACUUAAUGGAUUUCACUGCUGCCACAUCAGCUUUGCACAUCUGGACAGAGCGGCUUGGCUGUAAUCUUUGGCACAGUGGACACACAGUUGCAUUUCAGAUUGAUAUGACGCACUUGAUCUGACCAUGUACAUUUGAUUAUUAGAUAUUUUAGAUACCCUUGAUCUUUGAUCUUGAGCUGAAAGUAGGUCAUCCAGCACACAAGCCUCUUAUGAUGGAGGUUGGAUUCCAUUUAGAAAAUGACAGAAACUGAAUUGAAACUGAAAGAUAAAAACUUUUUACUGGCUCAAAAGUAAAAUUUUAAGUAAAGAAUAAAACUUGGAUCAAGAAUAUAUGAAACUGAUACUGUGGUGACUGUCAGACUUGCAAUAACAGAAUGAAUAUUUUUGGUCAUGGUAUGUUUGGAUUUAUCUUGGUAGGAAGGGUUAGUUCCUCAUUAUUAAACCAAUUGAAUUAAAAGCCAAAUCUAACUUGCAAAGAUACAAUGACGUGCAUAAUGUCAUUACAAGAGAGCAAGACUGUAAUUCUUACCCCACUGCAAUGGCAAAAUGCACAGUCAGAAUCCAUCCAACAUCGUGAUUCAUAAUGAGGAGACAGAAAGCAGAGGUGACAUGAGCAAACUUAUUUUCAUCAUCCAGGGACCUUUUUAAAUAAUGCACAUAUGAUAUAAAAGGAUUGAAAUAUAAAACUAUAAUCCCAUGCUAAAAUUUCAUAUUCUGCAUUCAACAUUUUACAUUGUUUAGCAAUGUCAUUUGUAGUGUUUUGUACAUAUCAGAUAUGUCUGCUUAUUCUGCAUCAUUAUAUUUUACAGGAACAGAAGGAUCCCAGUAUGAUUACACUGUUCCUCUUACGAUGUUCAGAAUACUAAGAUGCUAAUUGUUAAUAGCAUCUUGGUAUUGUUGUCAUGCACAGUGCUAAAUAACAGGAUCGAGUCUAGCAUGUGAAAUGCUCUGGAUGAGCAGACAAUACACAAGUAUCAACACAUGCUAAAUUCACUGAGAACCACCUCUUCAACCAGAAAGGAGGAACCGAGCAGGGAAAUGUGGAACCUGGUGUGACCUGAGGUUGCACCGAAAACAUGACCAUGUGGCCGCCUACUCUUGUUUCAUAGGAAUAAGAAUUCCACAUCUUUUAUUCAUUAAACAACAGGAAGCCUUACUUUGUGUGGGGGAAAAAAAAAAAAUCAUGAUUCCACAGUGCACAUUUCACCAUCAUUAGAAGGAGGUGUUGAUGCUCAUGUCUUCCUUUUUGUAAUGACUCCUGAACUUUGAUGUCAAGCUUUCAUUCUCAUCUUCAUCACCUUGUGCCAAACAAUUCUCCCUCCCACAUCUCUCUCCCUGUUUCGACACAGCAAUCUUGCGUCUGGGAUUUAGUACAAUAUUUAUCUUUAGGGCAGAGUCAAGUUUCGAGUAGGAUGAAGAAACAAGCAGAGAAAAACUCUGUGUGUAGAGAAAAGGCUUGAUGUUACUAAGAUACCAUUAUGAGGCUGCAUGAUUGUAAGUGUGUUUGAAUUAUUUGUGUUUAGAAUGUGCUUGAUAUGCAGGGAGAGAACUUUAAAAGCCUAUUUUAUAUUUCCGUAUGUCCUAGUAAUUAUGCAGGUAGUUCUGUUUUUAUUUAGACCAGGGUGUAAUUACAAGGAUGUCUGUGUGUUUGUGUGGGUGCGCACGUGUGUGUGCGCGCUGGCACCAGCUUGCCGACCCACUGUCUCCGUCUGCGGUUAACUGAGCUCUCUUCAGCGAAUAUCGUCUCCACCCUAUUUCCUCUUCCUCCUCCACCAGUACAGCCUUUGUCAAGGUUUUUUUGUUUUUCCAUCAUCGCUUGUCGUUCUGUUCCAGUCAUCCCAUUUACUUUCAUUUUAGUCAAGCACACACUCAUUUCCUCUUCUGUUUAUUUAUUCCUCUCUCUCAUUUAUCCUGCCUCUCUUUCCUCAUCUGUCCAUCCCUUCCUCGCUAAUCUCUUCCCCUGCCCUAUCCAGUGAUAAUAAUCCCUGCUUAAUGUAAUUGGACUCUGUAAUCUUUGGUUAGAAACAAUCAGCCUAAUAGACAGCCUGGCUGGCUCUUUGUCCACACUAGUCGUCCAUCUACUGACAUCCAGUCCCCCACUGUAGCCAAUUAAAUCUAGAUUGUCCCAAACUUCCCACAGCCAACUGAUUUGCCGAGGGCAGAGCUGAAUAGAGUACGAAUGAGCAUACUAUCUCACUCGUUUCUGCAGUCCCAUGUGCUGUGUGGUUGAAUAUAUUAUUAUGUAAGUGAAUAAUAAAGUGUGAUAAUUCAGAGA